rnacentral:rRNA from 1 species
AUAACGACUCUCGGCAACGGAUAUCUCGGCUCUCGCAUCGAUGAAGAACGUAGCGAAAUGCGAUACUUGGUGUGAAUUGCAGAAUCCCGCGAAUCAUCGAGUCUUUGAACGCAAGUUGCGCCCUAGGCCAUCCGGCUGAGGGCACGUCUGCCUGGGUGUCACGU